CCACUGUAUUCCUUAGUACGGCGAGUGACCGGGAAAAGCUCAAAUUUGAAAUCUGCCAACAGGCCGAGUUGUAAUUUGUAGAUGGCUACACUGCAUAAUAGUAGAUGCUCAAGUUCUUUGGAAAAAGACAUCAUGGAGGGUGACAAUCCCGUGAGGCAUGUUACUAGGAGCGUAUAGUGGGCUUUCUAAGAGUCGAGUUGUUUGGGAAUGCAGCUCAAAGUGCGUGGUGAAUACCAUGUAAAGCUAAAUAUGGACGAGAGACCGAUAGCGAACAAGUACUGUGAAGGAAAGAUGAAAAGCACUCCGAAAGGAGAGUGAAAUAGUACGUGAAAUUGUUAAAGUGGAAGGGCUUGAGAUCAGAAUUGGUAGUUUGGGUUCCACGUCCUCUUGGGGGCGUGUACUCCCUUUCGACCGGGCCACCGGGAGUUUUGUCGCUUGCGUCUAAACAUUGUAAUAUAGCACAUGUCGUAUUAUAAAUUCUGCUUUUCCACGUGUCCUCGAGGCUAUAAUGGAAACCUCGAUGAUCUCUACUCACCCAAAAAAACGAUAAAAAAAAGUAAAAUAAUUAGUGACGAAGGAAAGGAGGAAAAAAGAAAAGAAGGAGAAGAAAGAA
rnacentral:rRNA from 1 species